GGGCAUGUAGUGUAGGGGUUAUCGCGCCUCAUUCGCAAGUGUGGCCAAGAGGUCACGUGACUUGAUUUGAGGAGGUCUCCGGUUCAAUUCCGGACUUGUCCA